rnacentral:lncRNA from 1 species
UGCAGCACAAAAAAAAAAUGCAUUGUGCUCCUAAGUGUUUGUGCCUUUAGUAUUAAUAGCAAUUUGUUCACAAGAACAAGAAAAAAAACCUCCAUGCACUGGCACAACCAGAAUCUGAUUUCAUUCCAGCAACUAACAACGACAACGACAACAACAAAAGCAAACCCUUUUUUUUUCGGUUUAAUUAAAUUCUUUCAAGCCAUGUGGAGCAAUACUGCUGGGUAGAUCUUGUAAGAAGAGAUAAUUAAAACACAAACAAACUAGUUCUUUCAUUUGCAAUGGCAGCGACUGCACAUGCUUAGGACAGCUAGCCCUAACAAAAUCCCAAAGGAUUAUGUACGCUUUCUCAGAGAUUCACAAUAAACUUUAGCAUACCAAAUGCCUCCAUGAGACAUUCUAAUAAAGCUUUACAACAAA